CAGUGAAAGGGGUCCACAGGAGAGCGUCAUGAUUCACAACCCACCGUUCCGUGGGUAGGUGAAAAGUAGUAUAAGAAAUAAAUAAAUAACAGCAGCUGCAGGGUUGGGAUUCAGGUUUGGUUCCAUGCUGAGAUAGGGAGCUCGUUUCCUCACGAGUCCAGCAGGGGCAGCACAGAGCAGAGAAGAGAAGCUGAUCCUGCCACCUCCAAGAUGGCCGCCGCCAGCAGAGUUUAAGGUGCUCCUCCAAGGGCCUUCACAGCUAUGCUAUCAGGGGUCUAGAGCUCCACCUGUCCCCCCAGCGUUAUCAGCCUGCCCCCCUCAGCGAUAUAUCGUUGCCAGCGGGCUGCUCUGAGCGGUGCAGCGCCUAUGUUCCUCCCGACGCCACAUCCAAUAUGGCCGCCGCCACCGGACCUCUGCCGCUCGGCUUAGCCCCGGCCCUGCAACUCCAGGGGCACUUGUAUUCUUCUCGGCUCCCCUUCCGGGUCUCCCCAGAGUGUAUCUGAUUUGGAAAACCAAAUGCGGUGAUGCUUACCAAGCCUUUCGGUGACUCUUGUCGGCAGCUGCUGUGAAUCCAGGGCCUCCAAAAUAAUACAGGGGGUCUGCAAAUAAUUUUAAAAUGGAAAAGUGAAGCGUUUGCCUUUCUCCCAGAUUCAGGAGCAAAUCUGAAUCCCUACAAGCUUUAACCAGGAGAUCAGGAGUAUCUGGAAAGACAUGUGAAAAAGUCAUUUGAGCCCAGAUUUGAUGGUCCAUAUAGAGUGUUGCUGACCACGCCCACUUCUGUGUCAAUUAAGGAAAGAGAGACUUGGGUUCCACUGCAAUUUUGCUCAAGUUAAGUUUGAACAAUGAAAUACACAAACAUGCAGAGGCUAAUUGGGCCUAAACUAGACAGACCACUAUGGGUCAUUAUAUUGGGAACUUCAGUAGUCAUUGUUGUCAUAAUAUGCUCUAUAUCUCUCAUAGGAGAGGACAGGGACUGGCAUGUCCGCCAAUCCAAAGUUACGUACCGGUGUUCAGUAUAUAAGUAUAUAUUUUUUAUAUAUGUAGUAUGUGCUUCUUAUAUACUGUAUAUGUAUAUAAGCAGUGUGUUUUCACACUAGAGUUUGUGAUAAGUCAAGUUAAAGUAAAGAUCAUGAAAUCUCUAGAAGUUCAAAGAUACCAGUUAAUUAAGAAAUACUGGGCUCACACGGGCCCACAUCUGGAAAAGGAGGGGAAUGGACAUCUGUCCCCACUACAUAUAAGUGUAUAAUAGGUUUUAAUUUUUUUAAAGCAAAUACAUACUACUAAAAUAGUAUAAUAUUUUUUAGAAUAUGUAUGAAAAGAACUCAAGAAUGUGUUGUAUAUUAUUACUAAUGAAACAAAUAGUGUGCAAGAAGUGGUUUAGAGAAAUGUUCUGCUCAAACCCAGCUAAUUGAUUUAGCGGGAUCAAAGAGUAUAUUGUUUGAAUAGUGAUGUUUUUAUUAAAAAAUUUUGGCUUAGCAAUUUGCAUAUAUCUGUAUUUUAAGAUGCUAUUUUGUUUCCUUUCCUUUCAGCUUGAAAGAAAUCUGUAAACUCAAAGAUGUGAAUCCUCCGAGUGUUAACAAAACUACAGAAGAGCUUGGCAAGAAAGAGCCGUGAACAGUCUACCUUAAUGGAUAUGAUGUGAACGGUUCUUUACCUUCCGUGGGAUAGAGUGACAAGCACGAUCCUACGGGAACAUAGCCUUUAGCACCAUUAUAGCUAGACUGUUUGCUUAGUCUUUCUAGGCAGAGUUUAUGUGAUGCCUUCUAGCUCAACUGUAAUGUCAUCUUGUUAUCAGCGGUAAUGUCAUUUUAUUAUGAAAGGAGGGACUGAGGAAGAUAGAUGUAUAUAGCUUAAGCAUGUCAGCCAUUUUGUUAAGUAGCAUCCAUGUUAUAGUGAAGUAGAAGUAUGCUUUUCUGAGUUAAUCAUAAUAAUGCUGACAUUUCAUAGUUAGUACAUUCUGUGCGAAGCAAGGUCGUAGCUAUAGUCUUGAAAAACAUGUUAUUAGACAGUCUCUGUGUGUUUAGACUUCUCCUGAAGGACAUGAAGUGGGGUGACAGCCUGAGAGGAGUUAUGAGAAGAGAUGCAUUAUUAUUUUGAAAUAUGACGUGUAUCAAGUGUUCAUGCAAGUAGCUUUUUCUCUAUAUAAUGUUAUGCUAAAUAAAGUGAAGGCAGUCUCAUUUUGCUGGACAUAA